UAGUCUAGCCUGGGAAACAAGGCGAGACAUGGUCUCAAAAAAAAAAAAAUCAUUGAAAUAAAAAAUACAAUGGAUAAGUCAAAAGUAGGUUGACACAGAUGAAGAGAAAAUGAAUGAAUUUGGAAGAUAAGCCUAAAUAAAGAGAAAAUGAAGGAAUUUGGAAGAUAUGCUUAAAUAAAUAAGUCAGAAAACAUCACAGAGAUAUAACACAUGUCUAACUGUAGUUCCAAAAGGAGAGAAUAGCAAAAAUAGGGAAAGCAGAAAUAUUAAAAGAAGUAAUAGGUGAGAAUUUUCAAGAAGCAGAAUUUUGGCCUAGGUAACCGUGCCAGAUGUGGUUUGAGAUUCUCCUUGGACUUGCCGUCAUGGGCACAUGCUUGGUCAUCCCCGGAGUGGCUACUGAGUACAUCCACAUGUUCACUAACGGUGGCGAGGAAAAAGGGUUGCCCAUUUUGUAUAUCAUUGGAGUUUGAUGGAAAGAGGUGCAUCUCUGGAGUUAAUUGUUACUGUGUGUCAAAGGGUUUGGAGAACAUUGAUUAAAGCAGCAUUUUCCUGAUUGAUGAAAAAAUAACUCAGUAAUGGCCAUCUACUCCUGCUAGAAGGUUAUACAAUGUAUUAUGUAGCAUGCAGUAUGUUACAUAGUGCUUAAUAAAAAUAAAAUGAAAAAGAAAAAAAA